UGAAGCAAAAUAGUGAUAUCAAGCAAAUCUCAAAAAAUCGUUCUCAGUUCGGAUUGUAGUCUGCAACUCGACUACAUGAAGUCGGAAUCGCUAGUAAUCGUAGAUCAGCUACGCUACGGUGAAUACGUUCUCGGGUCUUGUACACACCGCCCGUCACACCAUGGA
rnacentral:rRNA from 1 species